rnacentral:rRNA from 1 species
CCCAGACUCCUACGGGAGGCAGCAGUGGGGGAUAUUGCACAAUGGGGGGAACCCUGAUGCAGCGACGCCGCGUGGGUGAAGGAGCGUUUCGGCGCGUAAAGCCCUAUCGGCAGGGAAGAAGGAGGACGGUACCUGACUAGGAAGCCCCGGCUAACUACGUGCCAGCAGCCGCGGUAAUACGUAGGGGGCAAGCGUUAUCCGGAUUUACUGGGUGUAAAGGGGGCGCAGACGGCAGCGCAAGCCAGGAGUGAAAGCCCGGGGCCCAACCCCGGGACUGCUCUUGGAACUGCGCGGCUGGAGUGCAGGAGGGGCAGGCGGAAUUCCUGGUGUAGCGGUGAAAUGCGUAGAUAUCAGGAGGAACACCGGUGGCGAAGGCGGCCUGCUGGACUGCGACUGACGUUGAGGCCCGAAAGCGUGGGGAGCAAACAGGAUUAGAUACCCCCGUAG